GAUGAAGAACGUAGCGAAACGCGAUAAGUAAUGUGAAUUGCAGAAUCCAGUGAAUCAUCGAAUCUUUGAACGCACAUUGCGCCCGCCAGCAUUCUGGCGGGCAUGCCUGUUCGAGCGUCAUUUCAACCCUCGACCUCCCCUUGGGGAGGUCGGCGUUGGGGACCGGCAGCACACCGCCGGCCCUGAAAUGGAGUGGCGGCCCGUCCGCGGCGACCUCUGCGCAGUAAUACAGCUCGCACCGGGACCCCGACGCGGCCACGCCGUAAAACACCCAACUUCUGAACGUUGACCUCGAAUCAGGUAGGACUACCCGCUGAACUUAAGCAUAUCAAUAAGCGGGGA
rnacentral:misc_RNA from 1 species